AGGCAGCAGUGGGGAAUUUUGGACAAUGGGGGCAACCCUGAUCCAGCAAUGCCGCGUGAGUGAAGAAGGCCUUCGGGUUGUAAAGCUCUUUUGUCAGGGAAGAAACGGUGGAGGCUAAUAUCCUUUGCUAAUGACGGUACCUGAAGAAUAAGCACCGGCUAACUACGUGCCAGCAGCCGCGGUAAUACGUAGGGUGCAAGCGUUAAUCGGAAUUACUGGGCGUAAAGCGUGCGCAGGCGGUUAUGUAAGACAGAUGUGAAAUGCCCGGGCUCAACCUGGGAACUGCAUUUGUGACUGCAUGGCUAGAGUGUGUCAGAGGGGGGUAGAAUUCCACGUGUAGCAGUGAAAUGCGUAGAUAUGUGGAGGAAUACCGAUGGCGAAGGCAGCCCCCUGGGAUAACACUGACGCUCAUGCACGAAAGCGUGGGGAGCAAACAGGAUUAGAUACCCUGGUAGUCCACGCCCUAAACGAUGUCUACUAGUUGUCGG
rnacentral:rRNA from 1 species